GGUUGUAGCUCAGUGGUAGAGUGCUUGGCUAGCAUAGGAGAGGCUCUGGGUUUGAUCCUCAGCACCA
rnacentral:tRNA from 1 species